rnacentral:lncRNA from 10 species
AGGAGCAUGAUAAAGCCUGCAUCUCCUUGUAGAAAUGUGGAUGGUUGCUUUGGGAGGCCGAGGCAGGAGCUCAGUGAACCGCUACUGCAGUGCUUCAUGAGCGUGGAGGAAAUGGCCCUUCCCAUGCCUGCCCAGCUUGCUAGACAGGGAGACAGGGCUGGUGCAUGUCACCUCCUGCCUGCAGUGCUGAUGUGGAAGGAAGGAGGGCAAUAGAAAAUCACCAUGGGAACACCACUGUAACACUUGCCUCAGUGAGACUCACCAAUGAAUGCAAAGUUAAUGGGCAGAACCUUAAUAAAUAUUUACCCAAAAACUUCUCACAUCAUUUUUCAUAAUGGAGAAGGUAAGAAGCCCAGGACUACUUCCCAGGUGAGAUCUGCGACUCCUGUCUUGGAAUCACCGUGGCCCCAUGGUGAUCAGGGGACGUUUGUAGCCAGCAAGCUGCUUAGAUAAUUAGCUACCCUGCCUUUUAAAACUGAUAUAUUUCUUGAUAACAUAUGACUUUAGGAUACCUGGGGUCAUUGCAAAAACCUUUUGUUUGGAGGAGUGGCUUUGGAGUCAGCACAAGCUUCUAGUUCUCCAAAGAGGAAGCAUUUUAGGCCACUGCAUCGCAGAGCAGAGGAUGCAACUUUACAUAAACAACAUGCAAAUGCUUGGUGUUGCUUCAGAUAAUAAAAAUACAAGAGGUCCAACUCAUUUUCUUAUCCUUUUUAAAAAAAUAACAGCUUUUCUGAAAUCUUAAUUUAAUUCACCUAACAUACAAUUCACCCAUUUAAAAUGUGUAAUCUAAGUGUUUUUGAUAUAUUCACAGAGUUGUGCAACCAUCACCACAAUCUGUUUAGAACAUUUUAAUCACCCCAGAAAGAAACCCUGGAGCCAUUGGCAGUCACUCCCCAUUUUCCUCCAAUCCACCCAACCCCUGGCAACAGCCAAUCUACUUUCUGUCUCUUUGGAUUAACCUAUUCUGGACGUUUCCUAUAAAUGAAAUUAUACAAUAUAUGGUCCUUUGCGACAGCCUCUUUCACUCAGCAUGAUGUUUUCAAGGUUCACUUCCGAAUCUCUACCCAGGUGGGUCCCACGGCUGCAGUGCUUCUUCUCCCGGUCAGGGAGCUCUCCCCUCUAUUGUUCUCCCAGGGCCUCCCUAUGCACAUUCCUGAGCCCUGACUUCCCUGUCUUAAGCUCUGUCCCCUGUUUAAGGUACGUCAGGCUUUGAAGGCAGGUGCACUUGGUGUGAAUCCAGAUCACUACAUAUUGUGUGCUCCUUGGCUCCCUUCGCCUCCCUGAGUCUCAGUUUCUUCAUCUGUGAAAUGGGCAGGAACCAGUCCCUGCUUCUUGAGGUGCUCUGAGGAUGAAAGGAGAGAGUUGCCUAAAUGCAUUCCCUCCAGACUGUGACUGGCCUGUGGGGACAGGAGAAUAUGGAUUUGAUUCAUCUUAGGUCUGUCUUAAAGACGGAGGGAACCUCUGACAUCAUAGCUGUGUGUGAGUCCUUGAUGAAGAGUGAUCCUAACCACACUACCUCUGUGUAGAGUCUUCCAGUUUGUAGG